GGCUUACNCAUGCAAGUCGAGGGGCAGCAUUUCAGUUUGCUUGCAAACUGGAGAUGGCGACCGGCGCACGGGUGAGUAACACGCUAUCCAACCUGCCGAUAACUCGGGGAUAGCCUUUCGAAAGAAAGAUUAAUACCCGAUGGUAUAAUCAGACCGCAUGGUCUUAUUAUUAAAGAAUUUCGGUUAUCGAUGGGGAUGCGUUCCAUUAGGCAGUUGGUGAGGUAACGGCUCACCAAACCUUCGAUGGAUAGGGGUUCUGAGAGGAAGGUCCCCCACAUUGGAACUGAGACACGGUCCAAACUCNUACGGGAGGCAGCAGUGAGGAAUAUUGGUCAAUGGGCGCAGGCCUGAACCAGCCAAGUAGCGUGAAGGAUGACUGCCCUAUGGGUUGUAAACUUCUUUUAUAUGGGAAUAAAGUUUUCCACGUGUGGAAUUUUGUAUGUACCAUAUGAAUAAGGAUCGGCUAACUCCGUGCCAGCAGCCGCGGUAAUACGGAGGAUCCGAGCGUUAUCCGGAUUUAUUGGGUUUAAAGGGAGCGUAGGUGGACAGUUAAGUCAGUUGUGNAAAGUUUGCGGCUCAACCGUAAAAUUGCAGUUGAUACUGGCUGUCUUGAGUACAGUAGAGGUGGGCGGAAUUCGUGGUGUAGCGGUGAAAUGCUUAGAUAUCACGAAGAACUCCGAUUGCGAAGGCAGCUCACUGGACUGCAACUGACACUGAUGCUCGAAAGUGUGGGUAUCAAACAGGAUUAGAUACCCUGGUAGUCCACACAGUAAACGAUGAAUACUCGCUGUUUGCGAUAUACAGUAAGCGGCCAAGCGAAAGCAUUAAGUAUUCCACCUGGGGAGUACGCCGGCAACGGUGAAACUCAAAGGAAUUGACGGGGGCCCGCACAAGCGGAGGAACAUGUGGUUUAAUUCGAUGAUACGCGAGGAACCUUACCCGGGCUUAAAUUGCAUUUGAAUAAUNUGGAAACAGNUUAGCCGCAAGGCAAAUGUGAAGGUGCUGCAUGGUUGUCGUCAGCUCGUGCCGUGAGGUGUCGGCUUAAGUGCCAUAACGAGCGCAACCCUUAUCUUUAGUUACUAACAGGUCAUGCUGAGGACUCUAGAGAGACUGCCGUCGUAAGAUGUGAGGAAGGUGGGGAUGACGUCAAAUCAGCACGGCCCUUACGUCCGGGGCUACACACGUGUUACAAUGGGGGGUACAGAAGGCAGCUACCUGGUGACAGGAUGCUAAUCCCAAAAGCCUCUCUCAGUUCGGAUCGAAGUCUGCAACCCGACUUCGUGAAGCUGGAUUCGCUAGUAAUCGCGCAUCAGCCAUGGCGCGGUGAAUACGUUCCCGGGCCUUGUACACACCGCCCGUCAAGCCAUGAAAGCCGGGGGUACCUGAAGUACGUAACCGCAAGGAGCUCCUAG
rnacentral:rRNA from 1 species